ACAAAGGCUCUUCUAAGAGCCCCCCACCUUCUCCCCCAAAGAUCUGU
rfam:Xenopus laevis strain J chromosome 6S, whole genome shotgun sequence.